AGCUUAGGAGUGGAUCACUUUCU
rnacentral:siRNA from 1 species